rnacentral:rRNA from 1 species
CCUACGGGUGGCAGCAGUGAGGAAUAUUGGUCAAUGGACGAGAGUCUGAACCAGCCAAGUAGCGUGAAUGAUGACUGCCCUAUGGGUUUUAAACUUCUUUUAUAAAGGAAUAAAACGAGGCACGUGUGCCUUUUUGCAUGUACUUUAUCAAUAAGGAUCGGCUAACUCCGUGCCAGCAGCCGCGGUGAUACGGAGGAUCCGAGCGUUAUCCGGAUUUAUUGGGUUUAAAGGGAGCGUAGAUGGGAUGUUAAGUCAGUUGUGAAAGUUUGCGGAUCAACCGUAAAAUUGCAAUUGAUACUGGCAGUCUGGAGUACAGGUGAGGUAGGCGGAAUUCGUGGUGGAGCGGUGAAAUGCUUAGAUAUCACGAAGAACCCCGAGUGCGAAGGCAGCUUACUAAACUGUGACUGACAUUGAUGCUCGAAAGUGUGGGGAUCAAACAGGAUUAGAUACCCUGGUAGUC